AAACCAGCCUUAAAACAAGGUCUCACAGGGCCGUCCAAGACCAGGACGUUGAUAGGUCAGGUGUGGAAGUGCGGCAACGUAUGAAGCUAACUGAUCCUAAUCGCCCAUA
rnacentral:rRNA from 2 species